UUGCACACAGCUGCAACCUUUGCGAUCGUCUCAAGGUUCACAUCGAUGCUCCCAGCAGGCCAGUCAUGAAUUUUCCCAUCCCGGGGAUCAUAGGUCGUCCCUUCCACCUUGAAGCUCCUAACUUCCCCUGAAGAAUCACCUAUUGCCACAAGUUUUGCCACUGACAUCUGGUUUGUGGUCAGCGUUCCAGUCUUGUCCGAGCAAAUCACGGUGGUGCAGCCCAGGGUCUCCACACUCGGCAGCUUCCUCACCAGUGCAUUUUUGGCUGCCAUCUUCCUUGUCCCAAGCGCGAGGCAUGUGGUGAUCACGGCAGGUAGGCCCUCAGGUAUGGC
rnacentral:lncRNA from 1 species